rnacentral:rRNA from 1 species
ACAGCAGCAGCCGCGGUAAUACAGAGGAUGCAAGCGUUAUUCGGAAUUACUGGGCGUAAAGCGUGCGCAGGCGGUUAUGCAAGACAGAUGUGAAAUCCCCGGGCUUAACCUGGGAACUGCAUUUGUGACUGCAUGGCUAGAGUGCGGCAGAGGGGGAUGGAAUUCCGCGUGUAGCAGUGAAAUGCGUAGAUAUGCGGAGGAACACCGAUGGCGAAGGCAAUCCCCUGGGCUUGCACUGACGCUCAUGCACGAAAGCGUGGGGAGCAAACAGGAUUAGAUACCCGAGUAGUCCCUGUCUCUUAUAC